CCAGACUCCUACGGGAGGCAGCAGUGGGGGAUAUUGCACAAUGGGGGGAACCCUGAUGCAGCGACGCCGCGUGGGUGAAGGAGCGUUUCGGCGCGUAAAGCCCUAUCGGCAGGGAAGAAGGAGGACGGUACCUGACUAAGAAGCCCCGGCUAACUACGUGCCAGCAGCCGCGGUAAUACGUAGGGGGCAAGCGUUAUCCGGGUUUACUGGGUGUAAAGGGAGCGUAGACGGCUGCGCAAGUCAGAAGUGAAAGCCCGGGGCUCAACCGCGGGACUGCUUUUGAAACUGUGUAGCUAGAGUACAGGAGAGGUAAGGGGAAUUCCUAGGGUAGCGGUGAAAUGCGUAGAUAUUAGGAGGAACACCGGUGGCGAAGGCGGCUUACUGGACUGUAACUGACGUUGAGGCUCGAAAGCGUGGGGAGCAAACAGGAUUAGAUACCCGAGUAA
rnacentral:rRNA from 1 species